UGUGCCGUUGUCUUUCUAGGAUCUUCGAUGCUCCGAUUGGCUUCGCCCAGCGAAUUUCCCACCCUUCCUUCUCAAUAAUGCUACCCGAUCCUAAAAGAAAGAUACAUGUAAUAGUCUGCGCGGCUUUGCGAUUCUCGUAGUGAAUAAAAGCGAAAUGAUUGAUCUUCUUCAGCUUCAAUAUCGGCACGUUUGUAUACCUGUAGAAAAUCUCCCUCACCUUUUGCUGCGACAUAUCCAGCGUGAGGUUCCUUACGAACAGAGCCGUCACCUAUUUGUCAUCGAUAUUGAAUUAAUGCGACAUGCCUCGUCUACGACGUUAGAUGCAAUAAUAUGAUUUGAUUUCGUUGCGCCGGAGGAAAACUUAUACAAAAUCAAUCACUUUUACAACAUAACAACAUAGAGGAAAUAUGGAAAAAAAUAAUGGAUUAGCGAUCGCGGAUACCAAUUCUUUGAAAAAAAUUCAAAACUCACCGUUU